GGGGUUUAUCCGGCAAGCUGGCCAGGUCAGGAAAAUAUCAGCGGAA
rnacentral:SRP_RNA from 13 species